GGGGAAUCCGACUGUUUAAUAAAAACAUAGCUUUGUGAUGGCCUGAAAAGGUGUUGACACAAAGUGAUUUUCUGCCCCAGUGCUUUGAACGUGAAUAUGAAGUAAUUUGUAGAAGCUCAGGUAAACGGCGGGAGUAACUAUGACUCUCUUAAGGUAGCCAAAUGCCUCGUCAUCUAAUUAGUGACGCGCAUGAAUGGAUCAAUGAGAUUCCCACUGUCCCCUAUUUUACUAUUUUAGCGAACCCCACAGUCAAGGGAACGGGCUUGAAAUAAUCAGCGGGGAAAGAAGACCCUGUUGAGCUUGACUCUAGUCCGACUUUGUGAAAUGACUAACGAAGUUUAGCCUUAGGUGGGAGCCAACGCGCCAAUGAAAAACCACUAUUUGUUACGUCAUUUUACUUACUCCGUAAAGAGUGAUCGGUUUACCGAUUCUAGACUAAGGUAGUUUACUGCCUGAGCUUUUGCGGAAGACACGGUCAGGUGGGGAGUUUGGCUGGGGCGG
rnacentral:rRNA from 1 species